rnacentral:rRNA from 1 species
UGAGGAAUAUUGGUCAAUGGGCGCAAGCCUGAACCAGCCAUCCCGCGUGAAGGAAGAAGGCGCUAUGCGUUGUAAACUUCUUUUUCAGGGGAAGGAAAUUUUCUACGUGUAGAGAAUUGACGGUACCCUGUGAAUAAGCAUCGGCUAACUCCGUG